rnacentral:rRNA from 1 species
GAUGAACGCUGGCGGCGUGCCUAAUACAUGCAAGUCGAGCGAACGGACGAGAAGCUUGCUUCUCUGAUGUUAGCGGCGGACGGGUGAGUAACACGUGGAUAACCUACCUAUAAGACUGGGAUAACUUCGGGAAACCGGAGCUAAUACCGGAUAAUAUUUUGAACCGCAUGGUUCAAAAGUGAAAGACGGUCUUGCUGUCACUUAUAGAUGGAUCCGCGCUGCAUUAGCUAGUUGGUAAGGUAACGGCUUACCAAGGCAACGAUGCAUAGCCGACCUGAGAGGGUGAUCGGCCACACUGGAACUGAGCCACGGCCCAGACUCCUACGGGAGGCAGCAGUAGGGAAUCUUCCGCAAUGGGCGAAAGCCUGACGGAGCAACGCCGCGUGAGUGAUGAAGUUCUUCGGAUCGUAAAACUCUGUUAUUAGGGAAGAACAUAUGUGUAAGUAACUGUGCACAUCUUGACGGUACCUAAUCAGAAAGCCACGGCUAACUACGUG